GGCGCGAAGGUUCGAUCAUGGCUCAGAUUGAACGCUGGCGGGAUACUUUACAGUCGAACGGCAGCCUGGACUUCGGUCUGGUGGUAGCGGACGGUGAUAAUGUAUCGGAACGUGCCUAGUAGCGGGGGAUAACUACGCGAAAGCGUAGCUAAUACCGCAUACGCCCUUCAGGGAAGCAGGACCUUCGGGCCUCGCACUAUUAGAGCAGCCGAUAUCGGAUUCCUUCGGUUGGGUGGGUAACGGCUCGCAGGCAGACGAUCCGUAGCUGGUUUGAGGACGACCAGCCACACUGGGACUGAGACGCCCGCUGGGCUUUCCUACAGGCAGCAGUGGGGAAUUUUGGACAAUGGGGGAAACCCUGAUCAGCCAUCCCGCGUGUGUGAUGAAGGCAUUCGGGUUGUAAGGCACUUUUGGCAGGAAAGAAACGGCACAGGAUAAUACUGGCUGCAGUGUGCGGUACCUGCAGAAUAAGCACCGGCCUAACUACGUGCCAGCAGCCGCGAUACGUGAGGUGCAAGCGUUAAUCGGAAUUACUGGGUGGCUAAAGCGUGCGCAGGCGGUUCGGAAGAAAGAUGUGAAAUCCCAGAGCUUAACUUUGGGACAUUUUUAACUACCGAAUACGAUUAUUGUCAGAGGGAGGUGGAAUUCCGCGAUGUAGCAGUGAAAUGCGUAGAUAUGCGGAGGAACACCGAUGGCGAAGGCAGCCUCCUGGGAUAACACUGACGCUCAUGCACGAAAGCGUGGGAGCAAACAGGAUUAAAGAUACCCUGGUAGUCCACGCCCUAAACGUGUCAACUGUUGAGACCUUGGACGUAGUGUUGCAGCCAACGUGGUUGUUCCGCCUACCAGAGUCUGAUCGCCAAGAUUAAAACUCAAAGAUUGACGGGGACCCGCACAAGCGGUGGAUGAACAUGGCGUUAAUUCGAUGCAACGCGAAACCUUACCAUAUGACAUGUCUGGAAUCCGAAGAGAUUUGGGAGUGCUCGCAAAGAGAACCGGAACACAGGUGCUGCAUGGCUGUCGUCAGCUCGUCGUGAGAUGUUGGGUUAAGUCCGCAACGAGCGCAACCCUUGUCGUGGUUGCUACGAAGGGCACUCCUAAUGAGACUGCCGGUGACAAACCGGAGGAAGGUGGGGAUGACGUCAAGUCCUCAUGGCCCAUAUGGGCCAGGGCUUCACACGUCAUACAAUGGUCGGGACGAGGUGCCAGCCGCGAGGGGGGGCGAUCCAAAACCCGAUCGUAGUCGGAUCGCAGUCUGCAACUCGACUGCGUGAAGUCGGAGAUCGCUAGUAAUCAUGGCGGAUCAGCAUGUCGCGGUGAACGUUCUGCGGAUGUACACACCGCCCGUCACACCAUGGGAGUGGGUUUUACCGAAGUAGUUAGCCUAACCGUAAGGAGGGCGAUUACCACGGUAGGAUUCAUGACUGGGGUGAAGUCGUAACAAGGAGUGA
rnacentral:rRNA from 1 species